rnacentral:rRNA from 1 species
UACGUAGGUGGCAAGCGUUAUCCGGAUUUAUUGGGCGUAAAGGGAACGCAGGUGGUUUAUUAAGUCUGGUGUAAAAGGCAGUGGCUCAACCAUUGUAUGCAUUGGAAACUGGUAGACUUGAGUGCAGGAGAGGAGAGUGGAAUUCCAUGUGUAGCGGUGAAAUGCGUAGAUAUAUGGAGGAACACCGGUGGCGAAAGCGGCUCUCUGGCCUGUAACUGACACUGAGGCUCGAAAGCGUGGGGAGCAAACAGG